AGUGAACGCUGGCGGUAGGCCUAACACAUGCAAGUCGAACGGCAGCACAGUAAGAGCUUGCUCUUACGGGUGGCGAGUGGCGGACGGGUGAGGAAUACAUCGGAAUCUACUUUUUCGUGGGGGAUAACGUAGGGCAACUUACGCUAAUACCGCAUACGACCUACGGGUUAAAGCAGGGGAUCUUCGGGCCUUGCGCGAUUGAAUGAGCCGACGCCGGAUUAGCUAGUUGGCGGGGUAAAGGCUCACCAAGGCGACGAUGCGUAGCUGAUCUGAGAGGAUGAUCGGCCACACUGGAACUGAGACACGGUCCAGACUCCUACGGGAGGCAGCAGUAGGGAAUAUUCCGCAAUGGGCGAAAGCCUGACGGAGCAACGCCGCGUGAGUGAUGAAGGUCUUCGGAUCGUAAAACUCUGUUAUUAGGGAAGAACAAAUGUGUAAGUAAAUAUGGACGUCUUGACGGUACCUAAUCAGAAAGCAACGGCUAACUACGUG
rnacentral:rRNA from 1 species